CAGAAUCGUAACCGAAUAUCAGUAACCUCGUACCGUGAGACGUGGAUCGCGAAGUAGCUCGGCAGGGGUGAAGGUGGAAGGUGGAAGGUAGACGGGGAAGGUGGAAAGGAGGAGUAUAGAAGGAAUAAGAUCAGGAGCGCGGGCAAACCUGGACCAUGCUGCGGAAAGGAUGAGAGCCGAGUCGCUACCUGGGGACUAACCAUCACAGAUCGACCCUCGAGGCAUUAGUGUACUCGGAUGCUAAGGGGAGUUGUGUAUAGUGAUUACCUACGGCGUUCUAUUAUUAUAUAUCACUUGGAGCGAUGAGGUGUGUUGUUUAUGGUGAUUGCUUAUGUGGGGCGGCUAGUGUAAGGCGGUAUAUUUAAUCUCUGCGGGAGCGUGCGCUAUCCUACGUGGUUGCCUCGCGUGAUGCAUCCACGCGAGGUGCACGCAAGGUCUACGCGAGGUGUGAAUGUAAUGCAUGCAUCGCGUGAUGAUUCCAGCGAGUAAUAAACGACCUACACAAUUAUGGAGGAAACAUAAUAAUAAAUAAUAAAGUCAUGCGUUGUAAGAGUAUAACGCAAUCAGUCCGUGGAAUGAAGGACUGCUCAAUAAAAACACAAAGGAAAAAGACAGCUAGCAAAAAUAAUCACUCGAUUAAGAAUCUAAAUUGCUACAAUAAUAGACAAAAAAGAGCACAACAUAAAAAAGCAAAUAAGAAACAAUGAUAGACCCACGCUGUGGCAGCAGGGACAGUUUUGUUCUUAGGGUACUAGUUACAUAUACUGUUUGCUCACAACUCGGUAUGUAUUAGCGAUGUGUCUUAAAACCAAGUCAAUAGUUACAUAAGCCUGACGAAAGCGCUAUAAUUCUCGCGAAUUAUAAAAUUCCCGACAUACAUAUACAGGUUUGCUUCCAGAAUGGAAGGAUAAUAACAUGCGAACCUGAAUUCAUUUGCAACGUUCCGUGUGACUGGAGCGGCGCACACACAGGUGCCCGCGGUCCAAGGGCGUGCGCGUGUAUACACUGCUCUGUCUCCUCCCCACACCGCACUGUGAAUAUCAGUGAAAGAAAUACUGAGCAGUUGUGCGUGGAAGGUGAACCAGCCGCCUACAAUAUCUUCUGUAUAAGGCGAGGGCAGGUGUAUAUCUUCUAUAUAUAGCGUGGAUGCAUAGCUGCAUGAGUGCCGCUGCUUCGUCGGGUGGUUUUAACACGCGAACACCCGCGUGCGCGUACUGGCGCGCCAAACUAAAGUUUGUUCAGUUACGAGUUGCGCGCGCGUCGGAGAGCACGUGUCCUCGCUCCCUGCUUACGUAGCCCACAAACCUGCUUACAGACGACAACGAGGUGCGAAGACGUCCAUGAGAAGAAAAUGGAUACGCCCGUCAUCCACGUGCUCUGCGGCCUUCUCCUCAUGAUAACUGUAACGACAUCACAGAUUAUUCUACC